rnacentral:rRNA from 1 species
GAUGAACGCUGGCGGCGUGCCUAAUACAUGCAAGUCGAGCGAACGGACGAGAAGCUUGCUUCUCUGAUGUUAGCGGCGGACGGGUGAGUAACACGUGGAUAACCUACCUAUAAGACUGGGAUAACUUCGGGAAACCGGAGCUAAUACCGGAUAAUAUUUUGAACCGCAUGGUUCAAAAGUGAAAGACGGUCUUGCUGUCACUUAUAGAUGGAUCCGCGCUGCAUUAGCUAGUUGGUAAGGUAACGGCUUACCAAGGCAACGAUGGAUAGCCGACCUGAGAGGGUGAUCGGCCACCCUGGAACUGAGACACGGUCCAGACUCCUACGGGAGGCAGCAGUAGGGAAUCUUCCGCAAUGGGCGAAAGCCUGACGGAGCAACGCCGCGUGAGUGAUGAAGGUCUUCGGAUCGUAAAACUCUGUUAUUAGGGAAGAACAUAUGUGUAAGUAACUGUGCACAUCUUGACGGUACCUAAUCAGAAAGCCACGGCUAACUACGUG